rnacentral:rRNA from 1 species
UGCCAGGUAGCUAUGUUCGGAAUGGAUAACCGCUGAAAGCAUCUAAGCGGGAAGCCAACCUCAAAACAAGAUAUCCCUACCCUUUCGAGGGUCUGAAGACACCUUGAAGACCACGAGGUUAAUAGGCCGGAAGUGUAAGUGCAGUAAUGUAUUUAGCUAACCGGUACUAAUCAGUCGUGAGGCUUGACCAU